GGGGAUAMMUAGUYGAAAGAUUAGCUAAUACCGCAUACGACCUGARGGUGAAAGUGGGGGACCGCAAGGCCUCAUGCUAUAGGAGCGGCCGAUGUCUGAUUAGCUAGUUGGUGGGGUAAAGGCCCACCAAGGCGACGAUCAGUAGMUGGUYUGAGAGGACGAUCAGCCACACUGGGACUGAGACACGGCCCAGACUCCUACGGGAGGCAGCAGUGGGGAAUUUUGGACAAUGGGCGAAAGCCUGAUCCAGCAAUGCCGCGUGUGUGAAGAAGGCCUUCGGGUUGUAAAGCACUUUUGUCCGGAAAGAAAUGGCUCUGGUUAAUACCUGGGGUCGAUGACGUACCGAGAUUGGGUGGUUU
rnacentral:rRNA from 1 species